rnacentral:rRNA from 1 species
GCAGCGCGGGGCAACCUGGCGGCGAGUGGCGAACGGGUGAGUAAUAUAUCGGAACGUACCCAUGAGUGGGGGAUAACGUAGCGAAAGUUACGCUAAUACCGCAUACGAUCUAAGGAUGAAAGUGGGGGAUUCGCAAGAACCUCAUGCUCCUGGAGCGGCCGAUAUCUGAUUAGCUAGUUGGUAGGGUAAAGGCCUACCAAGGCUACGAUCAGUAGCUGGUCUGAGAGGACGACCAGCCACACUGGAACUGAGACACGGUCCAGACUCCUACGGGAGGCAGCAGUGGGGAAUUUUGGACUAUGGGCGCAAGCCUGAUCCAGCAAUGCCGCGUGAGUGAAGAAGGCCUUCGGGUUGUAAAGCUCUUUUGUCAGGGAAGAAACGGUCUCAGCUAAUAUCUGGGGCUAAUGACGGUACCUGAAGAAUAAGCACCGGCUAACUACGUGCCAGCAGCCGCGGUAAUACGUAGGGUGCAAGCGUUAAUCGGAAUUACUGGGCGUAAAGCGCGCGCAGGCGGUUUUGUAAGUCUGUCGUGAAAGCCCCGGGCUCAACCUGGGAAUUGCGAUGGAGACUGCAAGGCUUGAAUCUGGCAGAGGGGGGUAGAAUUCCACGUGUAGCAGUGAAAUGCGUAGAGAUGUGGAGGAACACCGAUGGCGAAGGCAGCCCCCUGGGUCAAGAUUGACGCUCAUGCACGAAAGCGUGGGGGGCAAACAGGAUUAGAUACCCUGGUAGUCCACGCCCUAAACGAUGUCUACU